CGUUAGCGACAGAAGAAGCACCGGCUAACUCCGUGCCAGCAGCCGCGGUAAUACGGAGGGUGCGAGCGUUAAUCGGAAUUACUGGGCGUAAAGCGCAUGCAGGUGGUUUGUUAAGUCAGAUGUGAAAGACCCGGGGCGUCAACCUCGGAAUAGCAUUUGUAAACUGGCAGACUAGAGUACUGUAGAGGGGGGUAGGAAGUUUCAGGUGUAGCGGUGAAAUGCGUAGAGAUCUGAAGGAAUACCGGUGGCGAAGGCGGCCCCCUGGACAGAUACUGACACUCAGAUGCGAAAGCGUGGGGAGCAAACAGGAUUAGAUACCCCUGGUAG
rnacentral:rRNA from 1 species